rnacentral:rRNA from 1 species
UGGGGGCAACCCUGACGCAGCCGUGCCGCGUGAAUGAAGAAGGCCUCGGUUGUAAGUUCUUUCGGUGACGAGGAAGGCGUGAUGUUUAAUAGGCAUCACGAUUGACGUUAAUCACAGAAGAAGCACCGGCUAACUCCGUGCCAGCAGCCGCGGUAAU